ACAUGAUUCCCUAUAACAAACUACAAUUCACAUCUGCUCAUUCUAGAAAAAUCCUUUCUUGGGCACCAAGUUCACGUGAUAAGAGAGAGUCCAAAAUUGGAAGGGAUAAAAAGGGAGAUUUUAGAAAAAAAAACAGAGGGGGAGGCGGCGAGAUUAGCAGCGGAAAAAUCCUUUGCCGCCGCAGACCAUCUUCUACUCUCUCACGUUCUCACCAUGGAAACCAGCCAUCAAAAUACUACAAAGGCUCCAUUAAAUACACCCAACUUCACCCAAAAAUCAGCCUUGUAAACAGCUGCGAACAGCUCCAAAAAUGACCUCAAAUCUGUUCCAGAACUAGCAGCAAAACACCUCCGAAAACCAGUCAAAACCCGCUCCAAACCCAGCCGAAGAACAAAAAAAACAGCUCCCUCUUCGCACAAAAACAGCAGCUCCAAAGUCGAGUUCGAGAUCACCAGAAGCAAUUUCGAUCAGAGGUUCCGAUCGUGGUUCGCUUUUCCGAUCCCGGCUCCUGUUCGUACUACCGUUGCUGUAAUUGAAAGGGUGUCGCACCUUGAGGGGAAUGCCCAGCAAUAUAUGUAAAUAGAAGCAAAGGACGACAUCAUCGUGGAAGCUUUGGUAUAGACUUUUAGUAUUUUUCUCUUAUUUUAUUUUCUCUUAUUUAGGUGGGGACAACCUCGAGUCUCUUGUGUCUUUAUUUUUAUUUGUAUGUUUCUAUCUCGAUCUGAGUAUUCUUAAUAUCCAAUUUGAUCAAGUGUGCAACCGUACUAGUUACGGGACUUGGGGAAUGCUUAAUACCUUCCCCAUGAGUCAAAUGAAUUCCCUUAUUCAGAA